rnacentral:rRNA from 1 species
CUAGCCAUGGGCAGGUUGAAGGUUGGGUAACACUAACUGGAGGACCGAACCGACUAAUGUUGAAAAAUUAGCGGAUGACCUGUGGCUGGGGGUGAAAGGCCAAUCAAACCGGGAGAUAGCUGGUUCUCCCCGAAAGCUAUUUAGGUAGCGCCUCGUGAAUUCAUCUCCGGGGGUAGAGCACUGUUUCGGCUAGGGGGCCAUCCCGGCUUACCAACCCGAUGCAAACUGCGAAUACCGGAGAAUGUUAUCACGGGAGACACACGGCGGGUGCUAACGUCCGUCGUGAAGAGGGAAACAACCCAGACCGCCAGCUAAGGUCCCAAAGUCAUGGUUAAGUGGGAAACGAUGUGGGAAGGCCCAGACAGCCAGGAUGUUGGCUUAGAAGCAGCCAUCAUUUAAAGAAAGCGUAAUAGCUCACUGGUCGAGUCGGCCUGCGCGGAAGAUGUAACGGGGCUAAACCAUGCACCGAAGCUGCGGCAGCGACACUCAGGUGUUGUUGGGUAGGGGAGCGUUCUGUAAGCCUGCGAAGGUGGCCUGUGAGGGUUGCUGGAGGUAUCAGAAGUGCGAAUGCUGACAUAAGUAACGAUAAAGCGGGUGAAAAGCCCGCUCGCCGGAAGACCAAGGGUUCCUGUCCAACGUUAAUCGGGGCAGGGUGAGUCGACCCCUAAGGCGAGGCCGAAAGGCGUAGUCGAUGGGAAACGGGUUAAUAUUCCCGUACUUGGUGUUACUGCGAAGGGGGGACGGAGAAGGCUAUGUUGGCCGGGCGACGGUUGUCCCGGUUUAAGCGUGUAGGUGUGUGUUCCAGGUAAAUCCGGUUCACUUUAACACUGAGGCGUGAUGACGAGGCACUACGGUGCUGAAGCAACAAAUGCCCUGCUUCCAGGAAAAGCCUCUAAGCAUCAGGUAACAUCAAAUCGUACCCCAAACCGACACAGGUGGUCAGGUAGAGAAUACCAAGGCGCUUGAGAGAACUCGGGUGAAGGAACUAGGCAAAAUGGUGCCGUAACUUCGGGAGAAGGCACGCUGACACGUAGGUGAAGUGAUUUACUCAUGGAGCUGAAGUCAGUCGAAGAUACCAGCUGGCUGCAACUGUUUAUUAAAAACACAGCACUGUGCAAACACGAAAGUGGACGUAUACGGUGUGACGCCUGCCCGGUGCCGGAAGGUUAAUUGAUGGGGUCAGCGCAAGCGAAGCUCCUGAUCGAAGCCCCGGUAAACGGCGGCCGUAACUAUAACGGUCCUAAGGUAGCGAAAUUCCUUGUCGGGUAAGUUCCGACCUGCACGAAUGGCGUAAUGAUGGCCAGGCUGUCUCCACCCGAGACUCAGUGAAAUUGAACUCGCUGUGAAGAUGCAGUGUACCCGCGGCAAGACGGAAAGACCCCGUGAACCUUUACUAUAGCUUGACACUGAACAUUGAGCCUUGAUGUGUAGGAUAGGUGGGAGGCUUUGAAGUGUGGACGCCAGUCUGCAUGGAGCCGACCUUGAAAUACCACCCUUUAAUGUUUGAUGUUCUAACGUGGACCCGUAAUCCGGGUUGCGGACAGUGUCUGGUGGGUAGUUUGACUGGGGCGGUCUCCUCCUAAAGAGUAACGGAGGAGCACGAAGGUUGGCUAAUCCUGGUCGGACAUCAGGAGGUUAGUGCAAUGGCAUAAGCCAGCUUGACUGCGAGCGUGACGGCGCGAGCAGGUGCGAAAGCAGGUCAUAGUGAUCCGGUGGUUCUGAAUGGAAGGGCCAUCGCUCAACGGAUAAAAGGUACUCCGGGGAUAACAGGCUGAUACCGCCCAAGAGUUCAUAUCGACGGCGGUGUUUGGCACCUCGAUGUCGGCUCAUCACAUCCUGGGGCUGAAGUAGGUCCCAAGGGUAUGGCUGUUCGCCAUUUAAAGUGGUACGCGAGCUGGGUUUAGAACGUCGUGAGACAGUUCGGUCCCUAUCUGCCGUGGGCGCUGGAGAACUGAGGGGGGCUGCUCCUAGUACGAGAGGACCGGAGUGGACGCAUCACUGGUGUUCGGGUUGUCAUGCCAAUGGCACUGCCCGGUAGCUAAAUGCGGAAGAGAUAAGUGCUGAAAGCAUCUAAGCACGAAACUUGCCCCGA